rnacentral:rRNA from 1 species
UACGGGGGGGGCAAGCGUUGUUCGGAAUUACUGGGCGUAAAGGGCUCGUAGGCGGCCAACUAAGUCAGACGUGAAAUCCCUCAGCUUAACUGGGGAACUGCGUCUGAAACUGGAUAGCUUGAGUGCAGGAGAGGAACGCGGAAUUCCAGGUGUAGCGGUGAAAUGCGUAGAUAUCUGGAGGAACACCGGUGGCGAAGGCGGCGUUCUGGACUGCAACUGACACUGAGGAACGAAAGCCAGGGGAGCAAACGGG